rnacentral:rRNA from 1 species
GAUGAACGCUGGCGGCGUGCCUAACACAUGCAAGUCGAACGUGAGGAAGUAGCAAUAUUUCUGAAAGUGGCGCACGGGUGAGUAAGACGUAGGUAACCUGCCCUGAAGCGGGGGAUAACAGCUGGAAACGGCUGCUAACACCGCAUAAUGCCGGGUUGUCGGGAGACAAACUGGUGAAAACUCUGGUGCUUCAGGAGGGGCCUGCGGCCGAUUAGCUAGUUGGCGGGGUAAGAGCCCACCAAGGCGACGAUCGGUAGCUGGUCUGAGAGGACGAUCAGCCACACGGGAACUGAGACACGGUCCCGACUCCUACGGGGGGCAGCAGUGAGGAAUAUUGGGCAAUGGGCGCAAGCCUGACCCAGCAACGCCGCGUGGAGGAAGACGGCCUUCGGGUUGUAAACUCCUUUUACGGGGGAAGAGGAAGGACGGUACCCCGAGAAUAAGUCACGGCUAACUACGUGCCAGCCGCCGCAGUAACAC